rnacentral:tRNA from 1 species
UGUUUACAUGGGUUUAAAUCCUGUUUCUAUCA